UUUUGAUAUAGCAUGAUAAUGUGCACAGAAAAUUAUUUGGAUCUCUAGGCCUGCCUUCUCUGAUGCCUUUCUGCUUUGAUUUUGGGGCAUGGUUCUACAACAAAGUG